rnacentral:rRNA from 1 species
AUUGAACGCUGGCGGCAUGCCUUACACAUGGCAAGUCGAACGGCAGCACGGGAGCAAUCCUGGUGGCGAGUGGCGAACGGGUGAGUAAUAUAUCGGAACGUGCCCAGUCGUGGGGGAUAACGUAGCGAAAGCUACGCUAAUACCGCAUACGAUCUAUGGAUGAAANCGGGGGAUCGCAAGACCUCGCGCGAUUGGAGCGGCCGAUAUCAGAUUAGGUAGUUGGUGAGGUAAAAGGCUCACCAAGCCGACGAUCCGUAGCUGGUCUGAGAGGACGACCAGCCACACUGGGACUGAGACACGGCCCAGACUCCUACGGGAGGCAGCAGUGGGGAAUUUUGGACAAUGGGCGCAAGCCUGAUCCAGCAAUGCCGCGUGCAGGAUGAAGGCCUUCGGGUUGUAAACUGCUUUUGUACGGAACGAAACGGUGAGCUCUAAUACAGUUUGCUAAUGACGGUACCGUAAGAAUAAGCACCGGCUAACUACGUG